rnacentral:rRNA from 1 species
AACGCUAGCUACAGGCUUAACACAUGCAAGUCGAGGGGCAGCAUAAAAGUAGCAAUACUUUGGUGGCGACCGGCGCACGGGUGAGUAACGCGUAUGCAACCUACCUAUCAGAGGGGAAUAACCCGGCGAAAGUCGGACUAAUACCGCAUAAAACAGGGGCACCGCAUGGUGAUAUUUGUUAAAGAAAUUCGCUGAUAGAUGGGCAUGCGUUCCAUUAGGUAGUUGGUGAGGUAACGGCUCACCAAGCCGACGAUGGAUAGGGGAACUGAGAGGUUGGUCCCCCACACUGGUACUGAGACACGGACCAGACUCCUACGGGAGGCAGCAGUGAGGAAUAUUGGUCAAUGGGCGGGAGCCUGAACCAGCCAAGUCGCGUGAAGGAAGAAGGAUCUAUGGUUCGUAAACUUCUUUUGCAGGGGAAUAAAGUGCAGGACGUGUCCUGUUUUGUAUGUACCCUGAGAAUAAGGAUCGGCUAACUCCGUGCCAGCAGCCGCGGUAAUACGGAGGAUCCGAGCGUUAUCCGGAUUUAUUGGGUUUAAAGGGUGCGUAGGUGGUUUGAUAAGUCAGCGGUGAGAGUUUGCAGCUUAACUGUAAAAAUGCCGUUGAAACUGUCGGACUUGAGUGUAAAUGAGGUAGGCGGAAUGCGUGGUGUAGCGGUGAAAUGCAUAGAUAUCACGAAGAACUCCGAUUG